rnacentral:rRNA from 1 species
UCCGUAGGUGAACCUGCGGAAGGAUCAUUACUGCUUGCUCAUGGCGCCGCCUCGGGAAACCGAGACAGCGUCAGGCAUGCCACCCUUGUCUAUGUUUACCAUUCGUUACUUCCCUCGGCAGGGAAACCUGCCGCUGGGGACAAACAAAACCUUUUGCAUUAAGCAUCAAAUUUCUGAAACCAAAUUUAAUAAUUACAACUUUUAACAAUGGAUCUCUUGGUUCUGGCAUCGAUGAAGAACGCAGCGAAAUGCGAUAAGUAGUGUGAAUUGCAGACUUUAGUGAAUCAUCGAAUCUUUGAACGCACAUUGCGCCCCUUGGUAUUCCAUUGGGCAUGCCUGUUCGAGCGUCAUUUACACCCUCAAGCUCUGCUUGGUGUUGGGCGUCUGUCCACGCUUCUCGCGUGGACUCGCCCCAAAUCUAUUGGCAGCGGCAUCGCCGGCUUCUCGCGCAGCACUUUGCGCUUCAGAAGAAUACGGCGGGCUUGCGUCCAUUAAGAACCCCAUCAGUUUGACCUCGAAUCAGGUAGGGAUACCCGCUGAACUUAA